AUUACUCACCUGGUAAGGAAGGAGCACGCGACUAGUCCGCUCGCAUGGAUAGAUGCUUUCGACGGAGCUACGGCCUAUUUGUAGUAGUUGCGUCGUCGCCCCCGCCGCCAACACAUGUCAUGGCCUUCACUAUGGGUUACACUGUGAAGGAACGUCGCAACUAAACUCACCCCUACGCUUCCUUCGACCUUCAACCCUCGACCUCCAUUCUUCAGGAUCGUGCCCAUUUGGAUAAGAACCUUUUUAAAAAUGACAGCGUUAUAAAAUUGUUUUAUUUUGUCACGUUUUCAACAAUACUUUUAACGUUAUUAAUAUUUUUAUUUUCACCAAUUUAUUUUUUAUCAUAAAUUUUAUUUAAUUUUAAAGCCAUAUAUUAUCGCUGCCUUACUUUUUUUUUAACAAUUUAUCAACAUGUGUUUAAUUUCAUCAAUGAAUUUUAUUUAUUGCCAUAUAAUAGAUUAUGUCUAACUUCCUUGAUAUAUCUAAAGAAGAAUUUAUCAAUAAUUUACUUAUACUGUUAUAUAAAAUCAUAUAUAAUUCGUUUGACUUUAUAGGUAUGUACAGAAAAAGUUCGUCAAUGACUUUAUAGAUAUGUACAGAAAAAGUUCGUCAAUGACUUUAUAGUGUCGACAUUCUUACAUCAAAGUCAAAGGAAUUUAUUAACGAAUAAAAACAAAAAAAUAACAAAGAAAAGAAAAUUUAAGGAUAAUUAAGGAUAGUGGCGGUAGUAAAUAUUACAAUGUUCCUAUUGUUGCAUCAAAUGAACCAAUCCGCUAUCGCGGAUGUCAUUAAAUAAUUUGUCCAUAAGCGAAUUAAAAUAUCCUAGAUGACGCUACAGGAAGAUGCGAACAAUGCUUUCUUAAAAGUCGCUAUGGUAAAUGGCAGUAUUAAUAUGGUUGUUCCAGAGAGUGUAGUGUGUAAGAAGAUAUUGCUGCAUUAGAUUGUUUUGAACUAUCUUUUCUAAUAUAAGAUGUGUCAUAUUUGUAGAGAACGAUUUUAUGUAAUAUGAACAACUAAAUCGAAGUGAUUCUUUGAUAUAAACGUCGCUGCCAUGGAAACUUCUAUAAAUAUAACCAAUAACACGAUGAUGAACAUCCAGAAGAAAGGAUAAUCCAUUAUACAUGGUACAAGUCAAGUCAGGGAAAUUCUAUGGCUCAAAAUAACAUAAAAAUCAAGAAUAACAAGAAUGCAUUUGAAAAUUAGACGCUACAUAAUACUUAAAAAUAUAAAAAAAUUUUAUAAUAAUAUCAGUUUGAAUGUUUCUGAUAAAAUAUAAUGAUAGCAGAUUUUUAGAAUUAAAGAAAAAUAACGUUGUAAAUGAUUAACUAACUUAUAGGAAGAAAGUAUUUCUCUAAAGAAUGAAAUAUGUGAAAUAGAUGAAAGUAACAAGAAAAUCUAUAAUUUAAAACUAGAGUCUUCAAGUAAAAAAGUAUAAAAAUAAAUUUUCAAUUUAACUUCAAAGACAAGAUAAAAGUGAAGUAAAAUGAAUAUGGUGACCAAAAAACAUUGAAUAAUAUACAUGAAAAAUUUGAUUAUAUAGAAGAAUGAAAUCUAUCUCAACAAGAACAAAUUCUUAUUUUGGAAAGGCUAAUAAAUUACUAUUGAAUUAGAGAAUAGUAGUAGAAGUAAAAAAAUAAUUUAAAACAUGUAUAAUUUAAAAAUCAUCAGUGAAUAAAAUACUCAAAUAUAAAAAUAAACAAGAUCUUUAUAACACUUAACCGUCCGGCGACACAUCAAUGUUUUUCAACAUUCAUGUAAAUAAAAACAAUAUAAACUUAAUUGUUUAAAAAUAAUAUCUUUUACGAGAAAUACAUUAAUUUUCUUAGAAAAAAUACGGCUUUUAAAAUACACAUAAUUUUGCCAACCGUACACUUAAAUUUUGCUCUGAAAGAGUCGGACAGUUAAAUUUUAAUAAUAAUAAAGACUUAGAACAAAUUGUUAUAGCUGAUUACACUGUAUAGCAGUCUACAAAUGCAUCCACAUUCACGUGAAUGUUAUGAUUCAAUAAAUAUAAUACAAAAAAUACAAAAAACAUUUAACAUAUGUAUAUAAAUAUUUGUUUUAAUUUGUUUGACUGUUACAAAAAAUUUUGGGAAAAUUCCAAUAGACCGCACCUGUUAUGAACAAAACAAACAAUCGAAAUAGUACAAAAUCAUAUUCAAACACAAUAAAGAUGCAAAGCUCAGUCUACAUUUAGUCAAUUAAUUGUCCCAAGUAUACAAAGUGUAUUAAAUGCUAUAAUUUUUGAAAUUAGUUUGCCUAGUUGUUAUAAUGUCGAAAAUAAGAAAAGUUCAGAAUUGUUAGUGAAUCAGACUGCAGUAAAGAAAAAACUUCAAUGUUUACGAAAACUUAUGAAAAUGAUAAAAAAUUGAGUUUUUCAAGAAAAGAUAUAUUACAUAAUAUUACAUCAUUAGAUUUCGAUUUGGAUGUUGAUAACAGACAUAAUAGUGAUAGCCAAUUAUGUUCAGAUGUGGAUAUUUAACAUAAACAAAUUUUACAAGAAUUGUUUAUUAAAGAAGAAAUUGAAAUUGAUAGUACCGACAAGAAUGUAAUUAAGAAUGGCGAAUUUAGUAAAAGAAUUUAGUGAACAGAAAAACUCACUUUUUCUUUCUAGAAUAGCUGACUCAUUCAAGGAACUACUGAAUACUAUUAGUCCAUGGACUGGUAAAAAACAAAACAAACAUGCAAAGGAAAAUAAUUUAUUGCCUGACCUAAUCAACUUCAAUUGUGUUUGCCAUGUUUCUCAACUGUACGUUUAAAAUAAUUUUUUAAAUUGAACUAUUUAUAGUCAAUAAUAUUUUAUUAGUCUUAUUAGAUCCUGUUGACUAUCCUUCAAAAUACCUACUUAAGAUUAUUAGCGAUCAGGCAAUAUAACUGUCACCCAAAUCGGAUGACAUGGCAGUCAACACGCGUUAAUAUAAAUUUAAGUUAUUAAUAUUAAUUAAUUAAAUAUAUACAGUUUUUUAACACUACUUCAAUAUCAAAUAUCAAUGUCUGAUCUUAAACCUGUAAUUUUUUAUUAGAUAAUAUUGUUCUGUACAAACAUUAUACCUUCUGACAUAAUAUAAGAAUAACUUCUAUUUAUAUUAUCAAAUAGCUUAGUAUAAAAAUAGCAUAUUGUAAACACAUAUAUAUUCUUUUUCAUUUUAUUGAAUGUUAUCUUUUUUUCAGGAAAAAAGAAUUGAAACUUACCAUUCCUAUUCUAUCCAAAAAAAUGUAAUUUACCAAUCUUCACACACGCACACAGAAACACACAUGUAUUUUCAUUAUUUAAUUAUUAUGUAACUUGAACAAAUAAAUCUAAUAGUUCUAGUUA